rnacentral:misc_RNA from 1 species
UCUCCGUUGGUGAACCAGCGGAGGGAUCAUUACAGAGUUAUCUAACUCCCAAACCCAUGUGAACUUACCAUUGUUGCCUCGGCAGAAGCUGCUCGGUGCACCCUACCUUGGAACGGCCUACCCUGUAGCGAGUUACCCUGGAACGACUUACCCUGUAACGCCUGCCGGUGGACUACUAAACUCUUGUUAUUUUUAAAGUAAUCUGAGCGUCUUAUUUUAAUAAGUCAAAACUUUCAACAACGGAUCUCUUGGUUCUGGCAUCGAUGAAGAACGCAGC